UGGCUUUCUUCCUCUACUCAGGCCUUGUCGUGAACAUGGCUUGGUCUUCCCCUAAACUCCACUUCUCUGUUUGCCAGCACUUUUCUUCUGACUCAGUGCUCAAAAUCCUAACUGUAAAACCCCAGGGAGAUAAUCUUAGGCAUUUGAGGAAGAAUCUUAGUUGGUAAACUAACUUCUCUAUCUUCAUUCCUCAGGUCUCUCCACUGCCUCCUACUCACUACCUCAAGAUCCUUGAUUGGAAAAAGCAAAUGAGCGUCUGGAAAGAGAUCAUUUCCUCAGAAGACCUGAGGAGAAAAUGCAUGAUUAGAAUAGGUGUCUGUUUUCAGAGAAUUGGUUUGAAGAUGAAUGGCUGAGUAGAAAACACUUUCAGAUCCCCACAUAGGCAAUGGCAGAAAAGCUCCAAGUGUGAUAUUACAAAUAUGUAUUGUCAUCGAAGACAGAAAUAUUUGCCUUGUCCACCCAAAAGCACAAUGAUCAUAUGGGUCGAUUGUAUUUUCUUCUCUAUGUAUUAUGUGCAGAAUUUCCCUUCAACAAAAGAAGGGAGGAAAGAAAACUAACCCUGCAUUGUAGGCUUCUGCUCUAUUUUAGGAGAGGAAAGAUACUCAAAGACAAAAACCAGCGAGAAAUGGCAUUUGACUUGCAAGCCUUUAGGAGAUGUGCAUAAACAGAGAAGCUCAAAGGGAGGCAGAGAAACCAGGAUGCCAUCGUUGAUUAUGUCCUUCCAGCAACUGCAACUGUGCCUCAAUUUGCAGGGAAAUACAUUCCUCUUCAUGGACCCUGUUCUGGGACCCAUAGAAUGCUCCAGGCUGCAGCCCAGACAGGAAGGUGUCCAAUAUGUCUUUGAGUUCCAUCUUGGGGAUCUCAUGUGAUCUCUGGUGUGUUAGUGAGUGGGCAGGGCCCCUGGCUCCCAGCACUGACCUCAGUUACAUGAAGAGUCUGAGUCCAUGGCAGGAUCUGGGCCCACAGGCUUCUCACCAAGCCAGAGGCAGAAACAGACUCUACAAGCAACAUGGAAUGGCAGUGCUUUGUAUCUAC
rnacentral:lncRNA from 1 species